rnacentral:rRNA from 1 species
AUUGAACGCUGGCGGCAGGCCUAACACAUGCAAGUCGAGCGGAUGACGGGAGCUUGCUCCUCGGCUCAGCGGCGGACGGGUGAGUAAUGCCUAGGAAUCUGCCUGGUAGUGGGGGGCAACGUUUCGAAAGGAACGCUAAUACCGCAUACGUCCUACGGGAGAAAGCAGGGGACCUUCGGGCCUUGCGCUAUCAGAUGAGCCUAGGUCGGAUUAGCUAGUAGGUGAGGUAAUGGCUCACCUAGGCGACGAUCCGUAACUGGUCUGAGAGGAUGAUCAGUCACACUGGAACUGAGACACGGUCCAGACUCCUACGGGAGGCAGCAGUGGGGAAUAUUGGACAAUGGGCGAAAGCCUGAUCCAGCCAUGCCGCGUGUGUGAAGAAGGUCUUCGGAUUGUAAAGCACUUUAAGUUGGGAGGAAGGGCAGUAAGUUAAUACCUUGCUGUUUUGACGUUACCGACAGAAUAAGCACCGGCUAACUCUGUGCCAGCCGCCGCAGUAAUAC